UCAGACGAUGCGUCAUGCAUAUCAAUAAGCGGAGGAAAAGAAACUAACAAGGAUUCCCUCAGUAACGGCGAGUGAAGCGGGAAGAGCUCAAAUUUGAAAUCUUGAAAGGUCACCUUUCACGAAUUGUAGUUUAAAGAAGUGUUUUCUGUUACGAUCGUAAUAUAAGUUCUUUGGAAUAGGACAUCACAGAGGGUGAGAAUCCCGUCUAUGAUUGCGAUUUGUAGCUUUGUGAUACACUUUCAAAGAGUCGGGUUGCUUGGGAAUGCAGCCCAAAACGGGAGGUAAAUUUCUUCUAAGGCUAAAUAUUGGCGAGGAGACCGAUAGCGAACAAGUACCGUGAGGGAAAGAUGAAAAGAACUUUGAAAAGAGAGUUAAAUAGUACGUGAAAUUGUCCAAAAGGGAAGCGUUUAACACCAGUGUUGUUUUCUGAAAAUCAACCUCUGUUAGCUUUAUGCAUGUUUGUUUAGACCUAAUCAGCUAUCUUGCAUGUUCUAUUGUUUGCAGUGGUGCACUUUUCAGUUUACAGGUCAACAUCAGUUUUUUUUACCGUAAAAAAGUUAAAGAAAGGUAGCUCAUGGCUCCGGUCGUGAGUGUUAUAGUCUUUUUCCUAUGCGGUAGGAGAGACAUGAGGUCUGCAGUGUAGGCUACUUUGGCUAGAUACUCAGGUGCUAUGUGAUACCAUUUCAUAAACAACUUGUUGAUUAUGUUUUGUCUAUUGCAUACUCGCUUGUACUAUCAUACCUACGCUUAGGAUGUUGAAGACUCUACAGAGAUA
rnacentral:rRNA from 1 species